rnacentral:tRNA from 1 species
AAUUGUUAGCUUAAGGAAAGUAUUAGAUUUUUAAUCUAAAGAUGUGUUUCACAGUUUGUU